rnacentral:tRNA from 1 species
GCAGGUGUAGCUCAGUGGUAGAGUGCAUGCUUGGUGUGCAAGAGGUGCUGGGUUCAAUCUCCACUGCCUCCA